AACUAUUUAUGUUUUUUAUGGUGAUUACAGGUGCUAAAGAUUAUAACCAGUAGCAGCCCAAUAAUUGAGAUAGAAAGGCCCAGAGUGGGUUUUAUGUUUUGUAGGGUUUGUUUUAAUGAUAGUCAGGCCAACCCUAGGACAGCUCAAGAAUCAACACAGAGGAGGGACAAGGAUCCAUAACAGUUGUUUGCACUGAAUCAGGGCCUUCCAUGCUGGCACUCGCUUCCCCAUUGGUUCAACGGAACCUGAAUUUGUUGACCUUCAGAGUCCGUUAUAAGGACGGGUCUCUGCCUGAGAUGAAGUUGAUGGAGGAUUUCUAAGGAGCCGUCUUCCAGAAAAUUUUCGAUACUAAAGGACUGGCAACAGCGUGAUUAUUGGGAUGCGUUUGAGUCCCUGCUGGGUAGAGG